rnacentral:rRNA from 1 species
UACGUAGGGGGCAAGCGUUGUCCGGAAUUACUGGGCGUAAAGCGCAUGUAGGCGGGUCGGCAAGUCAGAUGUGAAAUCCCCGGGCUCAACCCGGGAACUGCAUCUGAAACUGCUGGUCUUGAGUACUGGAGAGGGUGGCGGAAUUCCUGGUGUAGAGGUGAAAUUCGUAGAUAUCAGGAGGAACACCGGUGGCGAAGGCGGCCACCUGGACAGUAACUGACGCUGAGAUGCGAAAGCGUGGGGAGCAAACAGG